GAAGUCGCCGGAGUUGAGAAAACAAAAUUUCAGCAAAUGCUGUAAGAAAUUACUAAAUAUUUAGUUAAACCGUAUAAAAUGUGAAUAGCGUACAGUAAACACCUUGCUGUAGCCUCUAUAAUGCAAGCGAGAGUGUAAUUGUGGCAAAGAAGCUGUUGCUGAUGUGAGCAUAAUUAUAUAUUGAUGCAUGUACUAAUGUACAUAUAUUGUGUUUGUGUUUGUAAAAGAGAAUAAAAAAAAGUUUGUGUACAAAUUAUGGCAUCAAAGCUGUCAAAUGAUCUACAGACGUGAAGUAAAUCGAAAUCCUAAAAGUGUACAUUUAAUAGAUUUAAAGCGACAUAAAUCUGUGUUUGACAUGAAUAUAGUCUGCAAUUUGCGCUCAGCUUGUCCAGCCAACCCUUAAUAUGUGCCAGAUGCCAAUGCGUUUAAUGUUAAUAUUUGCCUUAAUUAUAAUUUGCCCCACACCUUUGCACACCUAAUUCGCGCGCAAAUUAAUGAAACAACAAUGCAACAUGUCAUACCCCCGCGCCCUGCGUCUGUGUCUGCCAAAUGCAGCUUCCAAUUAAAAUUGACGACAUAAUUAUCUGUCUAGCAGUUAAAAUGUCUCCAGAGCAUUUUCUCUUAUAAUCUGUGAAUCUCUUUGAUACGUCCUAUGUGAACAUUUUUAGUGUAAUUACACAUUAAAAAAAUAAUAUUUAAAACAAUAAUAAGUAGUGUUGGGCCUACGUCACGCUUUGCUGCUGUGUGCUGCCGAUUCAGCUGUUUUCUGGCUACUUUUAGCGAUUAUCAAAGAUUGUCAGCUAAAAACAGUUAGAAUUAUGUACAUAUUCAGCUAAUUAUUACUGUCAAUAAUAUAAACUAGCUGUUUAUGGCCAAUUUGUAGCUAGAAAGCUUAAUCAGGCAGUUGGCAAUAUUGUGAAAUGCGACUCAACACGACGUGUUCGUGCGUGUCCGUGCUGAGGUACAGCAACACGACUUAAUACAGAAAUUAGAGGAUAUUGAUAGUGAAAGUGUGUAAAAAGAGAAGUGCAUCUUACACUUGUAAUUAUUUAAAACUUGUAUUCUCGCUUUAUUUAUACCAAAAAUAUGUAAAGCCCGGCAACAACAAUGUGGACACACGAUACCCUACUGUCCGACUAUAAAAUACAGUUGCCACCGUUGAAACGGAAAUCGGGUAAAAAGGAGAGCUUCGACCAUUUGGAUGUUUGCUUUACGCGCAGCAAUCGCGGCAACAAUCUGCUGACCAUCAAUGGGAAACCCUUCACCCUGAAUCGGCGCAUCAAGGAUGCCUGCUACUGGGAGUGCGUCAAGCUGCGCUGCAAGUACAUCAAGUGCACGGCGCGCGUGGUGACCAAAUCGAAUCAGAUCUCGGCGCUGCGUGGCCAGCACAAUCAUCCAUAAAAUGAGCGUGUACCCAAAAAGAAAAUACCAAGAAAACCCGUUGAAUCGAAUAAAUAUGAUUUGCGUUUAACUUAAACAAAUACAAAUAUAUGAACUGCGGACGCAGCGCAGCUAUCGCCUGGUGGCCAAUCGACGCGGCGGCCAAAAUCUCGU